CGAAUAUCGGUUUUUAUUAAAAAAUCUAUUUCUAAACGUUCAAUGUGUUUCAGCUAAUAUGGUAAGUUUGAGUUUACCUUAUAACAUGUAUCCAAAUAAUAUGCAUAUUUUAAUAUUUUCUUUUUUUUUUAAAACAGGAAUUGAUAAAAUGCCGAAUUCAUGUUGGGUAAAAAAUUGUUUUUUCCAGGCUGGACGUAUACUAAAUGGCCACGAAAUCAAAUUGCAUUGCUUUCCCAACCUUAGGGAGAGAAUAUUAGAUUGGCUUAGAAUCUUAAUUCCAUCAGGAGAGGUAGAAGUUUUUUCUAUAGCAGAGGAGAUUCUAUCUUACAAAAAGAAAAGAUACAAUAAGUAUCAUAUUUGUUCCCUAAAUUUUUCUGAUGAGAGUUUUAUAGUCAACGCUGGCGGACGUUUGCUUCGCCCUGUAGCAAACCCUUCAAUUUUUGAAAAUUUUCUUGAUUAUGAAAGAAAAGUUUUAGAGCCAAAAAAAUACAAGAAAAAACGAUUUCAGAAUACAACAGGUUCCCAGCAGUCGGUUACACCUUCAUCAUCAGAAUCAUCUGUACCAACCGAAUCUCGUGGUCAUACUGUAUCCCUUUCGUGCCUGGAAGUUCAACAAGUCUCUGAGAAUGUGGAAAUUCUAAUUUCCAAAUUCACGGAUGCUUCAACUCAGACAGAGUUCAAUUUGACUAAUUCUAUAAUUAUUAGUAUGGAUAAAAAUCUUACCCUUAGGGAAGAAGAAUCACCUUUACGUCAACCUACAAAUAUUGUUCAUGAAUCCACCCCAUUGCCUGAUUGUUCACAAUCCCAAAAUCUGCACCAAAUUAAUCCAUUUAUUAGACUUCUCUCUCCUAUUGUAUUUGAAAAUGAAAAGAUCUCCCAGCCACCGGAAGAAGACGGUAAUGAUGAUGAUCUGGUUAGUGGGAUAUUUCCGUUGACAGGUGACUUGGAGGAUUCAUACAAUAUUAGCAGUCUGGCUGACGCAGGGGAAAUUCGUGAUUCAAGAGACCACUCAUAUGACCCUUUGAUGAAAUGCAAUUUAAAGACAUGGUAAAAGACACGAAAUUGAUUGUGAACGAAAGUUGUCUCGAUGUACUGCUACGUCAGACAUUUUACCUGUGUGUAGGAGAAGUGCUGUCAAGACUUGGAGGAAGGGGAUCCGAUUAGACUCCAAGGCUGACAGUAAACUGUACCACCGCGUGGCACCUGCCCAGGAAGGAACAACACGUUUCCUGCCAGCCUUGGAGGAAGGGGAUCCGAUUAGACUCCAAGGCUGACAGUAAACUGUACCACCGCGUGGCACCUGCCCAGGAAGGAACAACACGUUUCCUGCCAGCCUUGGAGGAAGGGGAUCCGAUUAGACUCCAAGGUAUGUUCACUGACAGUAUAAUAAUGUAGCUACAGUCCCGUGAUUGACCCUUUUCCUCUCACAGAGACGGCGCUGCAGUACAUUUCAGCUUCUGACCAUGUCUUUUGUCCACAGGCUGACAG